AGGCAAGCACCAUGGUCUUGUAGCGGAUGCGAGCUUCAACUGGAAGCCAGUGGAGAGAGCGGAGGAGCGGGGUGACGUGAAAGAACUUGGGAAGGUUGAACACUAGCAUGCACACCUUCCGUUUCAUUGAACACAAGAACAUGACCGUCGCCACUUUCUACCUGCACUGUCACCCAACUCUCUGAGGUGUCCUCCUGUUCGUCCUUACUGCCUGUAAGUAUCAACAAUUCGAAAAUAACACACAGGUCACUGCCUUCACUCAGAGAAAGAAAAUGAAACAUUUUGCGACAGUACAUUGUGGCGGUCAUGAUCACGUUCACCAUAUUGCUUUUGACUCUCUAGACAUCUGGGAUGCCUACAACGUUCUAAUGUUCCGGCUUAAAAACUGUUGCCUAGAGUCUGGGUUUCACAGACAUUAUUACCCUCUGAAGAACUCUAAUUUCUUAGACAACCCUAUGCUAUUCUAAGCUUAUUCAACUGACUUGACAAAUGUUUCAAACCGAUAGGAACAGAAAACUGAUUUCCUGUCUGAACUCUGUCUCUUUGAUCUCAGAAUUGUUCAGAUUUCUCCAGGAGAAAGAGAGGACAAAGGUGCAGCCAUACUAUACCACUGGUGUGAUAUGAUAUCAGACAUGAAUGAUAUAUCAGACAUGAAUUAAUGACACUUGAUGAGAGUGAAAUGGAUUAGUCACCUCAUUGCUCAUACAGUAUGAGUAAUUAAAUGGAUGUAAGUCACUUCAUUCUUCACCACCUUAUUCUGUUUCCCUCUGCUACAGGUCUUCCAACAGCUUCACAACUCUCCCCCCAGUCCCAGAGAAGCCCAAUGGGCCAUAUGGCCGUCACAACUUCGGUGCUGGCUGUGAUCUGUCUCUCCGUGGCCCUGUUCAUGGGUCUGUUCCUGAGGAGGGGAGGGCUGGGAGCCAGACAUGAGGUUGAGGUCUUUUGAGACGGUGAAGACGGACCGUCAGCUGCAGUGACACGCUGGCCCAGCUCUGUACCUCCCUCUGCUUCUCCAGCACCAUGGAGUUCAUGAGCAACCAGCCCUGUCUCAAUGACCACUUCUGUCAUCACCUGGGAACCCUCACAAAGCCCACUAGUGUGAGGAUGUAGAGAUUACAAUUAACAUACAUAAUAUAUACAGUAUAUAUACAGUUAAAGUGUACUUAAUGUGACAAAAAAACAAAAGUCCUUCUG